rnacentral:rRNA from 1 species
UACGUAGGUGGCAAGCGUUGUCCGGAAUUAUUGGGCGUAAAGCGCGCGCAGGCGGUCCUUUAAGUCUGAUGUGAAAGCCCACGGCUCAACCGUGGAGGGUCAUUGGAAACUGGGGGACUUGAGUGCAGAAGAGGAAAGCGGAAUUCCACGUGUAGCGGUGAAAUGACGUAGAGAUGUGGAGGAACACCAGUGGCGAAGGCGGCUUCUGGUCU